AUGGGGUGGAGAUCUGCGGCCGGCCGUCUGCUGGCGAUCCUGCUCGUUGUGCACCUCCUCGUCGCCUCCUCCCACGCCGCCCGCUUCACGAGGAGCUACAGGAUGAUGGCCGUGGAGGCUCGGACGUUCCGUGGCGCUGGUGGUUCAGCAGAGGGCAACAGGAGGGAGAGCGACGCGAUCGUGGACGAGAUGUUCGGGAGGAUGGCGCUGCAGACAACCGACUACCCGGGUUCAGGCCCUAACGAUCGUCACACUCCCAAGGCGCCCGGGACAUGA
rnacentral:rRNA from 1 species